rnacentral:rRNA from 1 species
UGCCACCUGGGAACCUUGGAAUCCGUUACUUUUAGACACGUCUGACAUGGACUACGUACGGAACGGUAUUCGCCAAGCCCGGUACGAGUGCAGGUCGGAAUUGGCUAGCAUGAGCGCGUUAGUCGUCUGAUCGGUCAGCCGUAGCAUGACUGAUGCUGGUCAGAGAGGAAACUCCAAGUAAGGGGAUGCGUAGAAUUGGAAGAAACCGUGGCGAGGCCUUCUGACUGUGUCGACGUGAGAUGCGAAGCAGGUAGCGACGGGAUAGAUACCCGGUAGUCUGCGUAACGAUGGUACUAGUGUGGAGUAUCGACCCUCCGUGCCGGAGUAACGCAUAGUACCCGCUGGGGAGUACGCGCAAGGCUAAACUCAAAGGAAUGACGGGGCCCGCACAAGCGGUGGAGUAUGUGGUUUAAUUCGACGCAACGCGAAGAACCUACCAGGGCUUGACAUCGACUGCAAGGGUCAGAGAUGACCUCCUCUCUUCGGAGACAGGAAGACAGGUGGUGCAUGGCUGUCGUCAGCUCGUGUCGUGAGAUGUUGGGUUAAGUCCCGCAACGAGCGCAACCCCUAUCAUUUGUUGCCAGCACGUUAUGGUGGGAACUCAAAUGAGACUGCCGCGGACAACGCGGAGGAAGGCGGGGAUGACGUCAAGUCAUCAUGCCCCUUAUGUCCUGGGCUACACACGUACUACAAUGGGAUGGACAGAGAGCAGCGAACCCGCGAGGGCAAGCGAACCCCAUAAACCAUCUCCCAGUUCGGAUUGCAGGCUGCAACCCGCCUGCAUGAAGUCGGAAUCGCUAGUAAUCGCUGGUCAGCAUACAGCGGUGAAUACGUUCCCGGGCCUUGUACACACCGCCCGUCACACCACGGAAGUCAUUCACACCCGAAGCCGGUGGGUAACCGCAAGGAAACAGCCGUCUAAGGUGGGGGCGAUGACUGGGGUGAAGUCGUGACAAGGUAACC